UCUUUAACUUUGAAUACCAGACAUAGUCAGGUGUCUGCCGUUUUUUGGAAUUUGGUAGAGACUGUUACAUGUCUGGCACAUAAUAUAAUGAGAGUGAAUCCAACAAAUAUGAGUUUUCUAUUUUGUUGGAUAAGAUCUCUUUGGAAGGUGUCCAUCGUUGCCCGGUAAUAUACUUUGUUAUUAUUUGAGCUACAUCUGGAUUCCACAUCACAAUUUCUGCCUCUCACGCUCUGUUUUAUCUUCGACAAAAUCGUUCUUAUAUUAUUUGCAUUGUUAAAUUUCAUUGUUGUAUGCAUAUUCACAGACAACUUUAGUUAUUUGAAGUUCUGCUAUUGGUGCCUGAAUACCCAUGUUAGUUUUUUUUUUUCCUUUUUUGCUAAACAAUUAACAGAUAUAGUUUGAGACAUCUUUAACUUUGAAUACCAGACGUAGUCAGGUGUCUUCCGUUUUUUGGAAUUUGGUAGAGACUGUUACAUGUCUGGCACAUAAUAUAGAGGGUGAAUCCAACAAAUAUGAGUUUUCUAUUUUGUUGGAUAACAUCUCUUUGGAAGGUAUCCAUCGUUGCCCAGUAAUAUACUUUGUUAUUAUUUGAGCUACAUCUGGAUUCUACAUCACAAUUUCUGCCCCUCACCAAUCUUUGUUUCUUUCAACAAAAACAUUAUUCCUGCUGUUAGAAUCUAUAUUUGUCUUCGUAUUCAAACAAGUUUAAUUAUUGCAAGCUUCUGUUAUGGCUAUUGAAUACCAUUUUUAGUUUUUAUUUAUUUAUUUAUUUAUUGCUAAACAAUUAUUAGAUGAAAACAAGUUAUUUCAUUUUUGUACUUAGAAUACCAGACAUAGUCAGGUGUCUGCCUUUUUUGGAAAUUUGGUAGAGACUGUUACAUGUCUGGCACAUAAUAUACUGAGGGUGAAUCCAACAAAUAUGGGUUUUCUAUGUUGUUGGAUAACAUCUCUUUCGAAGGUGUCCAUCGUUGCCCAGUAAUAUACUUUGUUAUUAUUUGAGCUACAUCUGGAUUCCACAUCACAAUUUCUGAGCCUCACUGACCUUUGUUCGCUUAAGCUAAAUCAUAUUUACAGUAUUCCUGUUGUUUAAUUAUUCAUAUUCAAACAAGUUUAAUUAUUGCAAGUUCCUAUUAUUGUGCUUGAAUAAACUUGUUUGUAUGCUUUUCUUUUUGGCUAAACAAAUAUUAGAGGAAAACAAUGAGAUUUUUUUACCUAGUAAGGUUACGUGUAUGCUUUCUUUGGAAAUUCGGUACAGAAUGUUACUUGUCUGUCAUAAUAUUUACCUAGAGUGAGUCUGAUAAAUGUGAGUGUUCAUGUUGUAUUCUAACAUCUCUUAGAAAGGUGUCCGUCCAUCUUUGCCCUAUAGCUUGUUUUGCUAAUUAUUUGAGCUACAUUUGGAUUUCAACAUGGCAAAACCUUAGCCUCGCUUUCCCUUUCCUUUAACCUUGGAAGUACCGAAAGGGAAGUCAUCUGUAGCCAAAUCAACCGUCGGUAGAAACAGGCUUUCAUGCAGUCCUUUAAGUAUUUAGUGAUUGUAAUAAAAGCGUUCUUUUUCUUUUAUCCAUUUAUGAUUAUGUAUACAAGGGUGUGUGGAUUAUGUGUACACAGGUUGGAUAGUAGAGCUGAACAAGAAGCUUGAAUAAUGUGAGACUAAGAUUGUGGUCAUACCCUGUUUGACAUUUAUUUUGUAUGAUGGUUUGAUGCAGCUAUAGAGUAUUUAAUAGGAUAUAGGUUCUAUUUGUCUUUUUAAGUAGUCAUUUAUAGGAACCUCGUAUGGAUCUUUUAUAUAUUGAACAAUGUAGUACUGCACGAAUGGAUAUAUAGGAAUACAAAUUUGAUGCUCAUGAUAUGAUCUUCUACAUCUAUAUAGGAAUACAAACUGGUCUCAUUAUUGAAUUAUUAUGAAUUUUAAAGAAAACGUUAAACAUCAAAAUAUUUCAAUUUAUUUAAGAUGGAUUGGUUUUGUAACCAAAUCUUUACA
rnacentral:lncRNA from 1 species